UAAUGUGGCUCCAAGGUUUAGUGCAUUUUUAAAGUAUCCAAUUCAGUACUAGUUAAAAAAAGCUUCUCUAAUAAUGAGAGAUUAAAAUUACAGGGUAUUAAUAUUUGGACUAAAAUCCAAUAAUAUCUAGCAAACUAAGUAUGAUGUAUUCACUUUCCCUUUUUUUAGAAGUUCUUUCUGACACUUUCCUAACAAACAAGUGGCCCCAGAAGUUACGCAGCAUUCAUAUGUUUGACCAUACAAUUCUUGGUCCACUUCGCAAAGUUUCCUCAGAACCUAGGGGGCCAUAUGAUU